GACGAACGCUGGCGGCGUGCUUAACACAUGCAAGUCGAACGGAAAGGCCCUGCUUUUGCGGGGUGCUCGAGUGGCGAACGGGUGAGUAACACGUGAGUAACCUGCCCUUGACUUUGGGAUAACUUCAGGAAACUGGGGCUAAUACCGGAUAGGAGCUCCUGCUGCAUGGUGGUGGUUGGAAAGUUUCGGCGGUUGGGGAUGGACUCGCGGCUUAUCAGCUUGUUGGUGGGGUAGUGGCUUACCAAGGCUUUGACGGGUAGCCGGCCUGAGAGGGUGACCGGCCACAUUGGGACUGAGAUACGGCCCAGACUCCUACGUGGGGCAGCAGUGGAGAAUAUUGCACAAUGGGCGGAAGCCUGAUGCAGCAACGCCGCGUGCGGGAUGACGGCCUUCGAGUUGUAAACCGCUUUCGCCUGUGACGAAGCGUGAGUGACGGUAAUGGGUAAAGAAGCACCGGCUAACUACGUG
rnacentral:rRNA from 1 species